rnacentral:misc_RNA from 1 species
GAUGAAGAACGUAGCGAAAUGCGAUAAGUAGUGUGAAUUGCAGAAUUCAGUGAAUCAUCGAAUCUUUGAACGCACAUUGCGCCCCUUGGUAUUCCAUGGGGCAUGCCUGUUCGAGCGUCAUUUGUACCUUCAAGCUUUGCUUGGUGUUGGGUGUUUGUCUCGCCUUUGCGUGUAGACUCGCCUUAAAAUAAUUGGCAGUCGGCGUAUUGAUUUCGGAGCGCAGUACAUCUUGCGCUUUGCACUCAUAACGACAGCGUCCAAAAGUACAUUUUACACUCUUGACCUCGGAUCAGGUAGGGAUACCCGCUGAACUUAAGCAUAUCAAUAAGCGGAGGA